rnacentral:rRNA from 1 species
ACACCUACGGGUGGCAGCAGUAGGGAAUAUUGCACAAUGGGCGAAAGCCUGAUGCAGCAACGCCGCGUGAGCGAUGAAGGCCUUCGGGUCGUAAAGCUCUUUUCUGGGAGAUGAGAAAGGACAGUAUCCCAGGAAUAAGUCUCGGCUAACUACGUGCCAGCAGCCGCGGUAACACGUAGGAGGCGAGCGUUAUCCGGAUUCACUGGGCGUAAAGCGCGUGCAGGCGGUUCGGUAAGUUGGGCGUGAAAUCUCCCGGCUCAACUGGGAGGGGUCGUUCAAUACUACCGGACUUGAGAGCGAUAGAGGAAAAUGGAAUUCCCGGUGUAGUGGUGAAAUGCGUAGAUAUCGGGAGGAACACCAGUGGCGAAAGCGAUUUUCUGGAUCGUUUCUGACGCUCAGACGCGAAAGCUAGGGUAGCAAACGGGAUUAGAGACCCCGGUAGUCCUAGCUGUAAACGAUGUGAACUUGGCGUUGGUGGCUUAAACUCCAUCAGUGCCGAAGCUAACGCGAUAAGUUCACCGCCUGGGGA